CACGGCCCCGCUGCCCCGGCUCUGCCCGGCUCCCGCUGGCUCCCACCUCCAAGGGGAUCUUUGGGGCCCGUCCCUGCUGGUUACAGGCUGCUGUAGGACUGCGCCCUGCGGUCUCAGUAAUGGUGGUGAAUCCUGCUGGAGCCUGGCCAGCAGGGCCCCACGCCUGAGCAGUUCCUGAUGCGCUUGGAGCCUCUUGAGCAGGUAAUGCUCUCCUCUGGGACCUGAAGUGGCUGCUUGAUGUGGUGGGGCUGCUGGCAGCCCCGGCUGCACCCCGGACAGUGAGAGAGGGGAUCCCCAUCCCUCCAAGCCUCACCAUCGCCUGGAGAUGCUCCUGCCACGCUGUUGCCACAUUUCUCUUCACAGAGAAAAGCAAGGCACCAUUCUUCCCAAGGAUUUCUGAGAUUCACGUUCUCUGAACCUCAGAGGAAGGGAAAACACAAUGCUUGUCACCUGCUGUGCCUGUGUUGUGCCAAAGCAGAAUGCAAUAUGGAGACUGUGUACCCAAAGUGGGGAAGUUUUAUUUCCUUGGCCUAUUAGAGC